UACGUAGGUGGCAAGCGUUAUCCGGAAUUACUGGGCGUAAAGCGCACGCAGGCGGCGCAUCAAGUUCGACGUGAAAGCUCCCGGCUUAACUGGGAGAGGUCGUUGAAGACUGAUGGGCUUGAGGCAAUGAGAGGGGUGUAGAAUUCCCGGUGUAGUGGUGGAAUGCGUAGAUAUCGGGAGGAAUACCAGUGGCGAAAGCGGCUUCCUGGUCCAGCACCGACGUUCAGGCACGAAAGCGUGGGGAGCAAACAGG
rnacentral:rRNA from 1 species